AGAAUGAACGUUGGCGGCGUGGAUUAGGCAUGCAAGUCGAACGGGCCUGGUAGCAAUAUCAGGUCAGUGGCGUAAGGGUGAGUAAGGCGACGGCAACCAACCCCAUGGUUGGGCAUAGCCGCGGGAAACUGCGGGUAAUUCCCAGCGAUGUUCGUACCGGGCAUCCGGUGUGAACCAAAGUUCUGGCGCCGUGGGACGGGCCGUCGUGGUAUUAGGUAGUUGGCGGGGUAAUGGCCCACCAAGCCUCUGAUGCCUACCGGGCGUGCGAGCGUGGCCCGGCACACUGGGACUGAGACACUGCCCCAGACUCCUACGGGAGGCUGCAGUCGAGAAUCUUCGGCAAUGGGCGCAAGCCUGACCGAGCGACGCCGCGUGGAGGAUGAAGGCCUUCGGGUUGUAAACUCCUGUCGAGGGGGAGGAAGGGGUACCUUGACCUAUCCCUGGAGGAGCACGGGCUAAGUUCGCGCCAGCAGCCGC
rnacentral:rRNA from 1 species